rnacentral:rRNA from 1 species
UACGUAGGGGGGCAAGCGUUGUCCGGAUUUACUGGGCGUAAAGAGCGUGUAGGCGGCCAAACAGGUCCGUUGUGAAAACUGGAGGCUCAACCUCCAGACGUCGACGGAAACCGUGUGGCUAGAGUCCGGAAGAGGAGAGUGGAAUUCCGAGUGUAGAGGUGAAAUUCGUAGAUAUUCGGAAGAACACCAGUGGCGAAGGCGGCUCACUGGACCGGUAUUGACGCUGAUGUGCGAAAGCGUGGGGAGCAAACAGG